GCUUACGGCCAUACCACCCUGAGCGCGCCCGAUCUCGUCUGAUCUCGGAAGCUAAGCAGGGUCGGGCCUGGUUAGUACUUGGAUGGGAAACCGCCUGGGAAUACCAGGUGCUGUAAGCU
rnacentral:rRNA from 1 species